AGACGAGGCUACCACCUCUCCUCAGCCCGAACGGCAUCGAAGUAACGACUGGAUAAGAUAAAUCAAGCUUCUUAUCCAUAACUCACG
rnacentral:ncRNA from 1 species